GCCUGAUUGGGUGAGCGCAGGUCACGUGCCCACGUGCCACGCGAUGGAACGUCUGACCUCCUUCCGGCUGAGGGGCCUUGCCAUCCGCUUACCUGAGGGGAUGCCGCUUGAACCGGAGGCUUACUGUGAGGCAAUUUGGCUACUAACCCACCAAAGUGGAAAAUCUACCACUUUGGAAGCCUCCGCGCAGUUGCGGAAGCAGUUAAUUAACUUUAUUUUUGUAGAACACAAGGAAACAUGACAGACAAAAUUCACUGGGCGUUUACCAUCUGUGCUAGACGGUGUCGCUGAAGCACAGGAUGGCUGUGUAACUUGCCCAGAGUCACACAGCUAGUGAGUACUGGAGUCAGGGUUUGAGCCCAGGAUAUCUAAGCAAAAGUCUCUGGUCAUUACAUUCUGCUGCCUCCAGGAAAAGGAGGCUCUGUGAGGAGGACAGUGCAUCAGAGUUGUGGCCACUAUUACCAAAAAAAAGUCAAGAGAAGAGCAGACAUCUCAGCAACACGGCUUGCAACGGAGUUCAAGAAUGCUGGUAGUGAUGUGCUUUCACAGUUAAUUUUGCAAGACUUCCAUGCAGUUUCCUGGAGAAGGUGGACUCCUACCCUCCGGAAUUGUGUUUUACAUGUGCUCAUGGAUGAGCAAGAGAACUAGAGGUCAUCAUUCCUUCCUUGCUUC